rnacentral:misc_RNA from 1 species
GAUGAAGAACGUAGCGAAAUGCGAUAAGUAAUGUGAAUUGCAGAAUUCAGUGAAUCAUCGAAUCUUUGAACGCACAUUGCGCCCCUUGGUAUUCCGAGGGGCAUGCCUGUUCGAGCGUCAUUAUAACCCCUCAAGCUCAGCUUGGUGUUGGGGCCUGCUGCACUGGCAGCCCUUAAAAUCAGUGGCGGCGCCAUCUGGCUCUAAGCGUAGUAAUUCUUCUCGCUAUGGAGUCCUGGUGGAUGCUUGCCAUCAACCCCCAAUUUUUCUCUGGUUGACCUCGGAUCAGGUAGGGAUACCCGCUGAACUUAAGCAUAUCAAUAAGCGGAGGA